rnacentral:rRNA from 1 species
UGUCUCUCUUGAGUGGAUCCUGAGUACGACGGAGCACGUGAAAUUCCGUCGGAAUCUGGGAGGACCAUCUCCUAAGGCUAAAUACUCUCUAGUGACCGAUAGUGAACCAGUACCGUGAGGGAAAGGUGAAAAGCACCCCGGAAGGGGAGUGAAAUAGAACCUGAAACCGUGUGCUUACAAGUAGUCAGAGCCCGUUAAUGGGUGAUGGCGUGCCUUUUGUAGAAUGAACCGGCGAGUUACGAUUUGAUGCAAGGUUAAGCAGUAAAUGUGGAGCCGUAGCGAAAGCGAGUCUGAAUAGGGCGUUUAGUAUUUGGUCGUAGACCCGAAACCAGGUGAUCUACCCUUGGUCAGGUUGAAGUUCAGGUAACACUGAAUGGAGGACCGAACCGACUUACGUUGAAAAGUGAGCGGAUGAACUGAGGGUAGCGGAGAAAUUCCAAUCGAACCUGGAGAUAGCUGGUUCUCUCCGAAAUAGCUUUAGGGCUAGCCUCAAGUGAUGAUUAUUGGAGGUAGAGCACUGUUUGGACGAGGGGCCCCUCUCGGGUUACCGAAUUCAGACAAACUCCGAAUGCCAAUUAAUUUAACUUGGGAGUCAGAACAUGGGUGAUAAGGUCCGUGUUCGAAAGGGAAACAGCCCAGACCACCAGCUAAGGUCCCAAAAUAUAUGUUAAGUGGAAAAGGAUGUGGCGUUGCCCAGACAACUAGGAUGUUGGCUUAGAAGCAGCCAUCAUUUAAAGAGUGCGUAAUAGCUCACUAGUCGAGUGACACUGCGCCGAAAAUGUACCGGGGCUAAACAUAUUACCGAAGCUGUGGAUUGUCCUUUGGACAAUGGUAGGAGAGCGUUCUAAGGGCGUUGAAGCAUGAUCGUAAGGACAUGUGGAGCGCUUAGAAGUGAGAAUGCCGGUGUGAGUAGCGAAAGACGGGUGAGAAUCCCGUCCACCGAUUGACUAAGGUUUCCAGAGGAAGGCUCGUCCGCUCUGGGUUAGUCGGGUCCUAAGCUGAGGCCGACAGGCGUAGGCGAUGGAUAACAGGUUGAUAUUCCUGUACCACCUAUAAUCGUUUUA